UCCAAAAGUCUCCCUCUCCCGGAAGACCUGCCAUUGCUGCGGCCAUUGUUGGAACCAAACAAACCUUCCCUCAGCCAGCGUUCGCGAGCCUAAAUGAUCAGUCCACGAUGGGGGAUGGAAUGCUCUCCUUGUCGUGGAACAACCACAGCGCCACGUUCUGCCAUACGCUCUCCACACUAAGAGCAAAGGACAGGUACACGGAUGUCACCUUGGCGUGUUUAAGGAAAG